rnacentral:misc_RNA from 1 species
UGCCCAACACUCAUUCCUUCAGCAAAGAUUAAUGCAGUUAACUCACAAUCGAGUAGCAACACAUAAAUAUAAUCAUCAAUAGCACAAGUGGAAGUAGCUCUUAACUAAAGGUCCAGAAAACUACAAAGGCAAUUCUUUAUAGACGUAUAACUGAACUGAGAGUGAGAAAAACCACUGGAAAUCAGAAAUAAAAGUACAACCAAAAAACUUGACUGAGUUUUGAUCCAGUAACUUCCCCUUUAUACUCCUUCCCAAGAAUGACGUCCAAG